rnacentral:lncRNA from 1 species
CUUGCUAGCUGCAAGGGGGGCUGGGAAAUGUAGUCUGUGGCUAGGCAGCCGCUUCCCAGUGACAACUGCACACGGAGGAGGGGGAGCAUGAGUGUUCAGUCGACAGGUGGCCAUCUUUGCCCCAGCUGGGAGCGGGCCUGAAGCAGGAAAUGCCCUGUCUCCAGCAGGUUCUAGGAACACGCUCCCACAAAUGGUGCCAAUACAUUGGCCUUGGGAGAAUCAUUAGGGUUGCCUGGCACAAGGGCAAUGCCCCACACAUCUCUCUCAUCUCUUCUUUCCUUCAUCGCCCGGCUGCUAAGCCUUGCCCGGCUUACCCCCUUCAGACAUAAGUCGCCCACCCCUGACUUGCUUGUGUUUGGGGGUCCAGGUGAGAGGCACUUGGUAGCCAUCCCCAUGAUUCCCUGACAUCACCAGCCAAGAUAGGGGAUGCUCAGGAGGAGGAGCGGGUUUGGGGUGCGGCGCGUGAGGCCAGUUCCAGUCAGGCCGCGUGUGGCAUAUCUGAUGGAGCUCAACGCCUGGGCUGGUGGUGGAGACUUAAGGGUCUUCAGACUCUUCCACUGGGAAGGAAUAAUAAUUGUAAUAAUAA